rnacentral:rRNA from 1 species
UACGGAAGGCAGCAGUGGGGAAUAUUGCACAAUGGGCGAAAGCCUGAUGCAGCUAUGCCGCGUGUAUGAAGAAGGCCUUAGGGUUGUAAAGUACUUUCAUCGGGGAGGAAAAAACAAAACUAAUAAUUUUAUUUCUUGACGUUACCCGAAAAAGAAGCACCGGCUAACUCCUUGCCAGCAGCCGCGGUAAUACGGAGGGUGCUAGCGUUAAUCAGAAUUACUGGGCGUAAAGAGCACGUAGGUGGUUUUUUUAAGUCAGAUGUGAAAUCCCUGGGCUUAACCUAGGAACUGCAUUUUGAAACUGAAAUACUAGAGUAUCGUAGAGGGAGGUAGAAUUCUAGGUGUAGCGGUGAAAUGCGUAGAUAUCUGGAGGAAUACCUGUGGCGAAAGCGGCCUCCUAAACGAAUACUGACACUGAGGUGCGAAAGCGUGGGGAGCAAACAGGGAUUAGAUACC